rnacentral:rRNA from 1 species
UACGGAGGGUGCAAGCGUUAAUCGGAAUUACUGGGCGUAAAGCGCACGCAGGCGGUCUGUUAAGUCAGAUGUGAAAUCCCCGGGCUUAACCUGGGAACUGCAUUUGAAACUGGCAGGCUUGAGUCUUGUAGAGGGGGGUAGAAUUCCAGGUGUAGCGGUGAAAUGCGUAGAGAUCUGGAGGAAUACCGGUGGCGAAGGCGGCCCCCUGGGCCAAUACUGACGCUCAUGCACGAAAGCGUGGGGAGCAAACAGG